rnacentral:rRNA from 1 species
UCCUUAGAUGUCCUGGGCCGCACGCGCGUUACACUGAUGCAUUCAACGAGCUUAUAACCUUGGCCGAGAGGCCCGGGCAAUCUUGUUAACGUGCAUCGUGAUAGGGAUGGAUUAUUGAAAUUAUUAAUCUUGAACGAGGAAUUCCUAGUAAACGCAGAUCAUCAAUCUGCAUUGAUUACGUCCCUGCCCUUUGUACACACCGCCCGUCGCACCUACCGAUUGGAUGGUCCGGUGAAGCCUCGGGAUUGUGGUUCUUGCCGCUUUAUUGUGGCGUGACCGCGAGAACUUGUCUAAACCUUAUCAUCUAGAGGAAGGUGAAGUCGUAACA